UGGGGCUUGGCAGCACACUGCUAUUCACCCUCACAUGUUUACUUACACAUAAGUAAAAGGAAGACCCCAACAGGGCUUUGUGUGUAUGGUGUUCCCUCUUGGGUUGCUUGCCAGGCCUUCUGAGAUCCCAGGAAUAUUUUUAGAAGGUGGGCAAAUAAAACAUGUUUUGCUGUUUUUAUUUUAACUACUUCUUUAGGUGUUUAUCUUGUGAACCACCCUGAGAUCUUUCGAGGAAGGGCGAUAUAUCAAUCUAAAUAAAAUUUAAAAUAAUAAGUAAUAAAGGAGGGCAGGGAGUGAGGAGGCAGGCUACUUUCUCAGAAAAAUUAGGAGAGCAGUGCCUGUUUGCCUCAUGUCUCAAGUUCUAUAAACGCUAGAAACUGGCUCUUUUUAGAAGGAAAGAAAGGAAAGCUGAUGAUUAUGAUUCCAUACCCUCAAACAUUUCUACGAUGAAAAUAAUUCCAUUCCAGAAUGAUAAUAAUAAUAAUUUAUUAUUUAUAUCCUGCCCAUCUGACUGGGUUGCCCCAGCAACUCUGAGUGGCUUCCAACAUAUUUUAAAAACAUAAUAAAACUAUACAGGGCUGCCUUCAGAUGUCUUCUAAAGGUUGUAUCUCCUUGGCUCGGGGGGGUCACAUAACUCCAUACCCUCCAACACUUCUCUGAUGAAAAUAGUGACGUCCUAAGGAAAAGCGGGACAUCCCUGGAUCAAAUCAGAAACUGGGAUGGCUUCUGUAAAUAUGGGACUGUCCUUGGAAAAUAGGGACACUUGGGGGGUGGUCUGUGGUUCAUGGGGGUGCAAGGAGGACUGCCUCCCCCAUGGGUGCCCAUUGGGCUGGGGAAACCCACUGAAAUCCUGAUACGUCUGGUCAGUCCUAAGUCUGGCUUUCAGUCCUUUCCGUCUUAAAAUGUAAGCCCCCCCCCCCCCAUGGCUGUUUCGUUCAGUAGCUUUGUGAGAUGGGAAAGGAGUUGGGCAUGCAAUCAUUUCUACAUCAGCAGGCAGACUUGCUGUGCUAAUCCUUUUCUGAAUAUAAACUGGGGAGUUCCGCUGCAAAAAAAAUUGCACGCAUCUUUAUUUAGAUUUGGGGAAAACGGUGACGACCUUUGGGGAAACAGUUUCGUUGAUGGUAGGGCUGGGAAGGAAUUUGGAAUGGGAAGGAAAACUACAUUAUGCAAGCAUUUGGGACCCAUUCCUUGUGGGAUGGACAGACACCCUCUCAUACCAGGAUAUCCAUCAAGCGUGGGUGGCUUUUGGUAAUGGGUAUUUUCACUUUUAGGCCUGGGGGGCUGUGUGGUGACCGCCCUAACCAGCAUGAUGGUGUGCCAGUGAGAUGGCAGCCAUCAUUUAGAUGUUGGCCCUGAUGACAUGGGAGCUGUAGUUACACGGUACUUGAACCAAAAAAUUGGUUGCUAGGUUUCAAGGUGACUUUUUUGUGAAAUGCUACUUGUUCUAAGCCCUAGAUAGGCACACCUGUGUAGCCUCAAUGUGUGGGUGAGAUGGUGGCAUCAGGAGGAGGGUUUGAGAUCUGGUUCCUUCUCUAAGGGCAACACUUGCUUUGAGUCACAAGCAGGAGAAGUUUCUUGUCUUCAUGUCCUGCUUAUGGGCUUCUCAUGGAUAUCUGGUUGGCUGCUUUGAAAACAGGAUGCUAGGCCAGACAGACCUUUGAUCAGAUCCAACAGGUUGCGUGGCAAGUUCCCGCCUCCCCCCAGCAGAAAUAAAGACACAUGACGCAAUUAUUUAGGUUAAUGGGCUAAAAUGGCCACAACUUUAUUGGUUACAGGUAAUGAGCGGUAUUGGCUUAGGCAUUGGUCCUAAUCGACUAUCUGGCUCCAGCCUGUCUGCUUGAAGUCCGGGAAGGGUUAACCACCAGUAGGGGGAGUCCUGCUGAUGCACAUCAACUAGGAACUCCCCCGGGGUCACCGCUCGGGGGCGUGCCUUAGGCCCUCACCUCCAUAGGCUUCGGACAGGGCCAUGCCCCCUGGAAUCCUUUAUCGGACUACCCUUCAAUAUGUGGGGGAGGUGAUGGCGCUUCCUCCCCCCCCUUCCAUCUACAUAACAAUACCCCUACCAAUGCCUAACUGCCAAUGCCAAGGAAGCUGUGACGCUACGAGGUAGGUGAAAAACCAAGUGGCUGGUGCCAAUUUGCCAAGUGGAAAAAAUUCCUACCAGGCCCCUUAACAGCGACCAACCGAGGUCCAUAGCAAAGUCAAAGGAAACCUUAAAGGGAGGGAAGGUGGGAAACCAGAGCAGCUGAAGCGGUCGAAAGAGGUAGAUCCUCAGCCGCGCCAGCGCUAAAUAGGGCAGGCCACACACCCCAAGCCAGUCGAGUGGCUGGCCAAGGGGUGACGUGUCCGGGGAGAGCCAGCCCCCGCGCACGUGGAGGGGGCGUGAAGCCCGCAACCCCACCUCCUCUCUAGCUCAGAAGCGGCUUUCCUUCUUAUGGUCUUAUGUAUUGAGACACAACCCCCAGUGAGUCCCAAGGGAUGCUUAUAAGGCUACAGUACAGACGCAAAUCCUGUUUUAAAUGCAGUUCCAUUCCACUGAAUAAUCCUUAUAUCUUCCAUUUUUUCUAUAGCGCUGUCUCCUACUUGAUGUUACGGAGAAAUACAUCUUUCAGUUUUCUGGGGUGCUUUUUCUUUUUUUAAGGACAAAAUUGCAGUUAUUUGCUGGGCCACUGCCUGGUUUUGUGGCUAAAAAGAGGUCUGCAAGGGGCGCCGGUAUCAGAUGAAGGACACUCAUUAUAAGGAAGGGCGACGCUGGGGCUAAUUCUCAUGUCAUCUAGAUAAUGAAGGCAACUCGGCAGGCUCUGCCCUUUGCCUGCCGCAUCUCCGUCCCCAAGACCAUGCUAGAUAAAGGCAAUAAAGCAAGAUAAUAACCCAGGAACCCGUUUGCCAACCUGCGGUCACCUAUGGAUUUAAGAAGAGGGAGGAUGAAAGCUGGGCUAACGUCCUCCUUUCUCACAAGACUUAAGAGGUACCUUUUGCCGUUCACAUCAGAGGAUAAUGAACAAAUGCAGCAGGGACAUUGGUUUCCUUUCUUUCUUUUCAACAUAUUUUAUUACCUUUAUUGGCACACACCUCUCUAGCAUCUGCAUACACGCUGAUCCCACGAGCCCAAAGGUUAGAGGGAAAGAGUCGCGUCCACAAAACAGAUUGCUGCUAGUCCUUGGGUCAGUCAUGGAGCUGGGUGAAUCAACCCCUUUCCAGGUGGCACCGGAUGUUGGGAGUCUGGUAAAUACAUUGCAGAAAUGUGCGGAAAGAAAGAGUCUGGUAAGACUGCUGGUUGGAAGGAUGAAGAAAGCUUAAGGUGUAUCACUCAAAGUCGGGGGAGAAAAGCCAUUCCAAGUAUAGGUUUUGCCUGCUUCUUGGGAGAAAAGCAAUGACAAACCUAGACAACAUCUUAAAAAGCAGAGACAUCACCUUGCCAACAAAGGUCCGUAUAGUUAAAGCUAUGGUUUUCCCAGUAGUGAUGUAUGGAAGUGAGAGCUGGACCAUAAAGAAGGCUGAUCGCCGAAGAAUUGAUGCUUUUGAAUUAUGGUGCUGGAGGAGACUCUUGAGAGUCCCAUGGACUGCAAGAAGAUCAAACCUCUCCAUUCUGAAGGAAAUCAGCCCUGAGUGCUCACUGGAAGGACAGAUCGUGAAGCUGAGACUCUAAUACUUUGGCCACCUCAUGAGAAGAGAAGACUCCCUGGAAAAGAUCCUGAUGUUGGGAAAGAUGGAGGGCACAAGGAGAAGAGGAUGAGAUGGUUGGAUAGUGUUUUUGAAGCUACCAGCAUGAAUUUGACCAAACUGCGGGAGGCAGUGGAAGACAGGAGUGCCUGGCGUGCUCUGGUCCAUGGGGUCAUGAAGAGUCGGACACGACUAAAUGACUAAACAACAACAACAAACUGGAGCAAAGAAGCCAGCACAAUUGCACGGAAACUCACACUUGGACUAACUUGGAGGGGAAGAAGGAAGGAACAGAGAAAGAAUAAGAGGGGGAAAUAGGUUUGAACUUUCAUAAAAUCAUAGAGUUGGAAGAGAUCACAAGGGUCAUCUCAUCCAACCCCCUGCAAUGCAGGAAUCUCUUUGCCCAACAUGGGGCUUGAACCCAAGAUCCUGAGAUUAAGAGUCCAUUGCUCUACUGACUGAGCCUCUUUUAUCGCUGCUGCCGCUCUUGGGGGAGCUGCUUCACUGCUGAUCCCAUUCAUUCGUACAGGAGGUUGACAAGGACACCUUGGCAAUGCCUCAGUCCCUGUCACUGAGAUCUUUCUGGGAGGGGUGUCCGACAUGUCUCUCUUUUGCUCUGUGCUGGUGGCAGAAGGGAGGCUACACCUUGUAAUCAUCAUACCCUAUUUUUGAGCCUUUUCGUCUCGGCCUAAUCUCACACUCACACAGCAGGAAGAACGGGAGGCGAAGUGGCUCCUUCCCUAGGAAUGCAGCUCGGUUUCAAGUUGCUGAUUUGGUUCUUUUCUUCUCCUUCUCAGAGUUCAUGCUGAGGCUGUGCCGGUAGCACCCGCCGUAGCCGUUCGAGCUCGCUGGCCCAGUGGGACUAAUUACUGCAUUUACAGUAAAACAUGCAAGGAAAUGUAUCUCCCUAUCUCUGCAUAGCCAAGAUUACUGGAGGAUAACCUACUACAUUACACAGAUUAAUACUCCAGUGAGUAAAUUAAUCCUCAGAAUUUCACUCACUCCUUGUGGCUUAUAAAUUUUAAUUGGCUCUAAACUGCCACAUGAAUUUAUGUGAAUGUCUAUUGAUGCAGUGGAAGAGAUCAGAAAUUACUCUAUCAGCCUUCGAACCUUCAGGAUAAGAGAGCAGGCUACACUGAGACCAAUUUACAAACAUAUAUUAAAUGUCCAUAAGGUGGGGAUUCAAAACUUUUACAUAUUACAUAAAUCUCAGAAUUAAGAGGAACAAAAGCACUGCAGAGAGGAAGACAAAGGCUGCAAUUUAAAUGGACAUAUUUGCUCAUUGUAGCUAUGCACCGGUGUCUCCCAUCAGCACAUCACCACAACUGAGUCAGUGAUCUCAAUUACCUCUUGAUUGCUUAGAUGGCUUAAAAAAAAAUUAAAUCAAUACAGGAUAAGUUUACCAACAGAUAUUAGUCAGGAUAGCUAAACAGAGUAUCUCUGUUCAGAGGCAGCAUCUGGAUGAGCUGAGUGAAAUUUAGGGAUAGAGAACUCAUGGUCCUCCAGAGCUGGCCAAUGUUAGGGGUGGGGGAGCCAACAGCAUGUGAGGGGCCACCAGUUCCCCAUUCCUAGUGCAGUUUAUCUCUCUCCAGUGGGGGCGGGUAGCUCAGAUGGCCAACGCAGAGCCACACUCUCCUUUCUCUCUGGGAGAAGGGAGAGUUGUCCCAUACCCAAAGGCCUGGCCCUGGCACGGCUUGUCUCCCCGCAGGGCAUCUGUCAUGGGGGCACCUCAUUGUGCCCUCUUGUGCCCUCGGAAUCACAUGCCCAGGGCCACCACCCCCACAGCCUCAGGCAUGCUAUGCCAGUGCUCAGAGAAUCUCACUAUUCCAACAAAAGAAAGUUCUUAGACUUGACGUCAGGGAGAACAGUUUGGAAACCAUUCAUUUCUGUUGAACAUAUAGGAGUCAUGGUUCUCUGUACGCUCCCCCAAUCCAUGAUUUCCUUCUCCUCUCUUCAUCCUCAUUCUACACCUGCUCAUCCUAUGGCCCGCCAAGCCAAACACAGUCAACCAGCUUUCUAUGGUGCCCUAUCCGGUGCUUGACAAUCCCCUAUUCUUGCAAUUCCAGGCAGACAGCAAAACCAGCAGGUUUCACAAGACCCCCAGGGGCUGCCAAAGAGCAUAUGGCCAGAGAACCACAUUCAGCUUGAAGGGUCAGGUGUUGCGAAAGCCCAUUGGAAGAGGUGAAAGGCAAUGGGUUGUUGUCACUGGAUUUUGUGCCAAGAUCUCCCUUGGAAGCUAUGGGGGAAGAUUUCAGUUGCUACUCAUCAGUUUGUUUGAGGUGUGGGUUUUUUUAUUAUUUAAAAAAGCUGCUAAAUUAGGGUGAUUUUAUGGAAAGGAGGCAGUCAGCAUGGGGAGAGGAAGAAUAAGGAUCUGAACAAUGUACCGGUAACUGCUUUGGACUUUGGAAGAGAAGGAAAAGAGUGAUGAUGUUGAUGCUCGUGUUUACUGGAAUUGUGCAGACAACCAAGAUUAUUUGGUUCAUUUCUAACUUUAAAAGCUGAGGGUCUUAAUUAGUUAGAUUAGAAUGGCUCAUUGACUCUGGUGAGCUUAAGAUAGGCUAUCAAGCAAACUGCUGGAGACCUUCAAUUGCAAGAAAGGGGUCUUGCUUUUUCUUCUCUGCACCACUUUUCUCAUCCACUCUAGAAAGAUCACCCAGUGCCAUCUGUCAGGGCUUGCAACAGAUUCAGAUCAAAUAGCCAAUGCCUUGUGCAGUCAUAUCAUGAAGGAUGUCAGCCGGAAAAAUGAAGAAAGCAUAGCAUCAUUUGGGCAAGACCAACCUUUGAACGAGACAUUUGGGAUACUUGUUUGGGAGGAAGAUCUCAUCUCAUGUUUAACCAGCCCCACUCCAUCCUCAGUGGUCCCCCUUUUCUCAAUGAAUGUCUACCCCCAUCACUGCCAUGGUUUCUAGCUGCCAGGCCUACCAUUGCUGCCUUUAGAGCACAUCUGAAGCACACUCUUCCCUCAAACUGUCAUUUGUUAAGGGUUGCUGGGAACUGUAAUUCUGUGAGGGGUAAAUUACAAUGCCUGAAAUUCAUCAAGGGAGUUUGUGGUUCACCUCAGGUGUCAAAAUGUCUUGGGCCGGCCCUGACUCUCACUGUCGCUGCUGGAUGGAUUGGUGGGAGUUAGGAGUCCCACAACCUCUGGAGGGCUGCAACCCUGCUCUAAGACAUACACAAAAGGCCCUUGGACUUCAAGAGAAGUUUUAACUUUCUGGGGUUCACUGGGCGUUACAGAUAAAUAUAUGUAACUGAGCCUAAGUGCCUUUGUUUCCUUGUAAG